rnacentral:rRNA from 1 species
GAUGAACGCUGGCGGCGUGCUUAACACAUGCAAGUCGAACGAGAAGUGAAGACGGAAACCUUCGGGCGGAAGGCUUUAUUUCGAGUGGCGGACGGGUGAGUAACGCGUGGGUAACCUGCCUCAUACAGGGGGAUAACAGUUGGAAACGACUGUUAAUACCGCAUAAGGCCACAGCACCGCAUGGUGCGGGGGUAAAAACUCCGGUGGUAUGAGAUGGACCCGCGUUCGAUUAGCCAGUUGGCGGGGUAACGGCCCACCAAAGCGACGAUCGAUAGCCGAUCUGAGAGGAUGACCGGCCACAUUGGGACUGAGACACGGCCCAAACUCCUACGGGAGGCAGCAGUGGGGAAUAUUGCACAAUGGGGGAAGCCCUGAUGCAGCGACGCCGCGUGAGUGAAGAAGUAUUUCGGUAUGUAAAGCUCUAUCAGCAGGGAAGAAAAUGACGGUACCUGAGUAAGAAGCCCCGGCUAACUACGUG